rnacentral:rRNA from 1 species
UACGUAGGGUGCAAGCGUUAAUCGGAAUUACUGGGCGUAAAGCGUGCGCAGGCGGUUGUGCAAGUCCGAUGUGAAAUCCCCGGGCUCAACCUGGGAACUGCAUUUGUGACUGCAUGGCUAGAGUACGGUAGAGGGGGAUGGAAUUCCGCGUGUAGCAGUGAAAUGCGUAGAUAUGCGGAGGAACACCGAUGGCGAAGGCAAUCCCCUGGGCCUGCACUGACGCUCAUGCACGAAAGCGUGGGGAGCAAACAGG